rnacentral:rRNA from 1 species
GACGAACGCUGGCGGCGUGCCUAAUACAUGCAAGUUGAGCGCUGAAGGUUGGUACUUGUACCAACUGGAUGAGCAGCGAACGGGUGAGUAACGCGUGGGGAAUCUGCCUUUGAGCGGGGGACAACAUUUGGAAACGAAUGCUAAUACCGCAUAAAAACUUUAAACACAAGUUUUAAGUUUGAAAGAUGCAAUUGCAUCACUCAAAGAUGAUCCCGCGUUGUAUUAGCUAGUUGGUGAGGUAAAGGCUCACCAAGGCGAUGAUACAUAGCCGACCUGAGAGGGUGUGGGCCCACAUUGGGCUGGGGACACGCCCAAACCUCCUGCGGGGGGCGGCGGUGGGGAAUCUUCGGAAAGGGACGAAGUUCGGACGGAGCACCGCGGGGGGAGGGAAGAGGGUUUUCGGACCGAAAACCUUUUUUGGGAGAGAAAACCGUGGGGGAGGGUGAAAACCUCAUAAAGUGGCGUAAACUACCAAGAAGGGGACGCCAAACUCCGUC